ACAUACUCUCUCUUUUUCUUUGUUUGCACUCUCUUUUUUUUUUAUUUCUUUUCAAUCAUGCAUUCAAUGAUUGGCACCAUGUCUAACCGGCGAACAGCUGUUAUGACAAGUGAAAAGUUGACAAAAAAGCAACUCAAAAAACAAGAAAAGAAAC
rnacentral:ribozyme from 1 species